rnacentral:lncRNA from 1 species
CCAGUCGCCAUAAAAAGAAGAUCGUGGACACGUCUUCUGCAAGUGAUUUUGAAAUGGAAUUGUUUAGGCCACCUCUAGAAAGACCCAGGAGCGACACUCGUCCCUGUUUGUUCAGUACCUUAGAAGAUCCAGCAGGAGGAGGAAGAGGCCCGGAGCCAGAUUGGUCAUGUGAAGAAGACGUGUCUCUCUUUUUUAUCCUAUUGUAUUGUGUCAUAGCAAGGUUGUCUUCUGAAGGAAGAAAGGUCGGAGACCAGAAUGUCCUCACCAGAAGACACUUGGAGAUCUAACUAGUUACAUGGUCCAGGAUGAAGGGCUACCUAAGAAGCACAGGUUGACUGAGAAACUCCGGAUAGGAAGGUUGACUUGAAUGACGACGCCUGUGGAAGCUUCUGGGUUCCUCUCUGUGUCCCGGGAAGUCCCACCUAUUCUUUCCUGCUUUGCUAUUGACUAUUCAGCUCUUUAUUGACAGGCUUGCAUCCGGGAUGUACCCAGAGGUAUCAGCUGACAGAGCUUAAUUAA